GUGGGGAAUAUUGGACAAUGGGCGCAAGCCUGAUCCAGCAAUGCCGCGUGUGUGAAGAAGGCCUGCGGGUUGUAAAGCACUUUCAGUGGGGAGGAAGGCCUCGAUGUUAAUAGUAUCGAGGAUUGACGUUACCUACAGAAGAAGCACCGGCUAACUCUGUGCCAGCAGCCGCGGUAAUACAGAGGGUGCGAGCGUUAAUCGGAAUUACUGGGCGUAAAGGGCGCGUAGGUGGUUACUUAAGUUAGAUGUGAAAUCCCUGGGCUUAACCUAGGAAUUGCGUUUAAUACUGAGUAGCUAGAGUAUGGUAGAGGUAAGUGGAAUUUCCAGUGUAGCGGUGAAAUGCGUAGAUAUUGGAAGGAACACCAGUGGCGAAGGCGACUUACUGGACCAUUACUGACACUGAGGCGCGAAAGCGUGGGGAGCGAACAGGAUUAGAUACCCCAGUAGUCC
rnacentral:rRNA from 1 species